UACGUAGGGUGCAAGCGUUGUCCGGAAUUAUUGGGCGUAAAGAGCUCGUAGGCGGUCUGUCACGUCGGCUGUGAAAACCUGGGGCUCAACCCCGGGCCUGCAGCCGAUACGGGCAGACUAGAAUUCGGUAGGAGAGACUGGAAUUCCUGGUGUAGCGGUGAAAUGCGCAGAUAUCAGGAGGAACACCGGUGGCGAAGGCGGGUCUCUGGGCCAUUACUGACGCUGAGGAGCGAAAGCGUGGGGAGCGAACAGG
rnacentral:rRNA from 1 species